UCCCUGAUGGUCCAGUGGUUAAGACUCAGCACUUCCACUGCAGAAGGCAUGGGUCUGAUCCCUGGUCAGGGAA
rnacentral:tRNA from 1 species